rnacentral:rRNA from 1 species
UACGGAGGGGGCUAGCGUUGUUCGGAAUUACUGGGCGUAAAGCGCACGUAGGCGGCUUUGUAAGUUAGAGGUGAAAGCCCGGGGCUCAACCCCGGAAUUGCCUUUAAGACUGCAUCGCUAGAAUUGUGGAGAGGUAAGUGGAAUUCCGAGUGUAGAGGUGAAAUUCGUAGAUAUUCGGAAGAACACCAGUGGCGAAGGCGACUUACUGGACACAUAUUGACGCUGAGGUGCGAAAGCGUGGGGGAGCAAACAGG